rnacentral:sRNA from 1 species
AUAGGAAACGAUGACUGGCUGGGCUGCUGGGGUCACCACAUGAAGUCUCCUAGUUUCCGAUCCAUUCGAGAGCAUCAGAAGCUAAACCAUUUCCCAGGCUCAUUCCAGAUUGGGAGGAAGGACCGGCUAUGGCGGAACCUGUCACGUAUGCAGAGCCGCUUUGGCAAGAAGGAGUUCAGUUUCUUCCCCCAGUCCUUUAUCCUGCCCCAGGACGCCAAGCUCCUGCGCAAAGCGUGGGAGAGCAGCAGCCGCCAAAAGUGGAUUGUGAAGCCACCAGCAUCAGCUCGAGGCAUUGGCAUCCAGGUUAUUCACAAGUGGAGUCAGCUCCCCAAGCGAAGGCCCCUCCUGGUACAGAGGUAUCUACACAAACCCUACCUCAUCAGUGGCAGCAAGUUUGACCUGCGGAUCUAUGUUUACGUCACUUCCUACGAUCCUCUGCGGAUUUACCUCUUUUCAGACGGACUGGUCCGCUUUGCCAGUUGCAAGUAUGUGACAGUGGUAUUCUCCUUCCAUGAAGAGCCUUGGCAAUAAGUUCAUGCACCUGACCAACUACAGUGUCAAUAAAAAGAAUGCCGAGUACCAGGCCAAUGCAGAUGAAAUGGCUUGCCAGGGCCACAAAUGGGCACUGAAGGCUUUGUGGAACUACCUGAGCCAGAAGGGAGUCAAUAGCGACGCCAUCUGGGAGAAGAUAAAGGAUGUUGUUGUCAAAACUAUCAUCUCGUCAGAGCCCUAUGUGACCAGCCUGCUCAAGAUGUAUGUGCGACGGCCCUAUAGCUGCCAUGAACUCUUUGGUUUUGACAUCAUGCUAGAUGAAAACCUCAAGCCCUGGGUCCUGGAAGUCAACAUUUCCCCAAGCCUCCACUCCAGCUCUCCACUGGAUAUCAGCAUCAAAGGCCAGAUGAUUCGUGACCUUCUGAAUCUGGCAGGUUUUGUCCUGCCCAAUGCAGAGGAUAUCAUUUCCAGCCCCAGCAGCUGCAGCAGCUCCACCACCAGCCUGCCCACCUCCCCUGGGGACAAAUGUCGAAUGGCUCCAGAGCAUGUCACUGCACAGAAGAUGAAGAAAGCCUAUUAUCUGACCCAGAAAAUUCCUGAUCAGGACUUCUAUGCAUCUGUGCUGGAUGUCCUGACACCAGAUGAUGUUCGGAUUCUGGUUGAGAUGGAAGAUGAGUUUUCUCGCCGUGGUCAGUUUGAACGAAUUUUUCCUUCUCAUAUCUCCUCUCGCUAUCUCCGCUUUUUUGAGCAGCCACGAUAUUUCAACAUUCUCACCACCCAAUGGGAACAGAAAUACCAUGGCAACAAGCUUAAAGGUGAUGUGCCCUCCCUGCCCUCAGAAAGCCAAGUUUAGUGAGAGAUUAAAUCCCAGUAUACCAAGAAAUGGGCGUCUCUGGAAAGAAUUGGCCAAUUGAUUCUACCUUCUUAAACCCCAACUCCUGCUAAUCUUGUCCUAGGAGUAGAUCUGCUCCGGAGUUGGUGCUACAAAGGGUUCCACAUGGGAGUUGUCUCUGAUUCUGCUCCAGUGGUGAGUGCUGCCAGUGUGGAGGACAGCUCCUUCUCAGGCCCCUCCCUCCUCUGCCUUAUGAGUGCAGCAGGAGUUGGGUUGGUAUGUAUAGGCCUCUCUCACUUCUCUGCUAGGCUCUGCUUCUGUCUCACCAUUCUUUCCUUUCAAGGGAAUAGUUGCCUCCAGGAUU